rnacentral:rRNA from 1 species
AGGUUAAUUAAAACAAACUUUUCACCACCGAAUCUCUGGUUUCUGGCACCAAUAAGAACCGCACCAAAUUGCAAUAAUUAUGGUGAAUGGCAAAUUUCAUGGAAUCAUCAAAUCUUUAACC